AACGAACGCUGGCGGCAGGCCUAACACAUGCAAGUCGAACGCCCGUAGCAAUACGGGAGUGGCAGACGGGUGAGUAACGCGUGGGAAUCUACCCAGUUCUUCGGAAUAACUGAGGGAAACUUCAGCUAAUACCGGAUACGCCCCAAAGGGGGCAAAGGAUUUAUCGGAAGUUGGAGGAGCCGCGUUGGAUUAGCUAGUUGGUGGGGCUAAUGGCCUACCAAGGCGACGAUCCAUAGCUGGUCUGAGAGGAUGAUCAGCCACACUGGGACUGAGACACGGCCCAGACUCCUACGGGAGGCAGCAGUGGGGAAUAUUGGACAAUGGGCGAAAGCCUGAUCCAGCCAUGCCGCGUGAGUGAUGAAGGCCUUCGGGGUUGUAAAAGCUCUUUUAGCGGGGAAAGGAUAAUGACGGUACCCCGCAGAAAAAUGCCCCGGCUAACUUCGUGCCAAGCAGCCGCGGUAAUACGAAGGGGGUCUAGCGUUGUUCGGA
rnacentral:rRNA from 1 species